AUUACUGUCUUAAUUAUAAUAAAAAUUGAAUUUCAUUUUUUAAUGAAAAAGUUAAAAUUUUUUUAGAGGACGAGAAGACCCUAUAAAUCUUUAAAUAUUUUCAUAAAAUUUUAUGAAAAUAUUUAAACUGGGGCGGUAAAUAAAAUUUUAUUACUUUAUUAUAUAUAAAAUUUUGUAAAAAUAUAAAAAUUUUAAACCUUAAAAAAGAAAAUUAAAUAAGUUACUUUAGGGAUAACAGCAUAAUUUUUUUAAAGAGAUCUUAUCAAUAAAAAAGUUUGUGACCUCGAUGUUGGAUUAAAUUAAUAAAAAAUGUAGUAGUUUUUGUAUUUUUAGUCUGUUCGACUUUAAUAAUUUACACGAUUCUGAGCUUCAGACCGCGAA
rnacentral:rRNA from 1 species